UCAAACUAAAACCGAAACUAUGAGUCCAGGUUCCCGGGGAUCAGCGGGACGGAGAGUGUCGCCCGGCCUCGGCCCUGUCUCUCCCGCGGUCGCUCCGGAGGGCCAGCGGUCCCAAAGUAGACCGGCUGGCCUCAGGUAAAAAUAAAAAAAAUACUUUAUUAUAAAGUUCUUCACACUCGGGGGAUCCUGACCAAUCUGCUGGCUCAUGUUUAUUCAUGAGCUCUGCCAGACGACUUCCGGAAGGAUUCGGUAAAAGUAACAAGUUUCAAAUCUAUGUGAGUGUCAUUCAAGUUUUCCAAAGCAAUGUAGUUCACUGAUUUCGCACAUAUAGAAAAAUUUCCCCACCAGAAUAUGAAAAAUAUGCAAAUUCAUGUGAAUGUCCAAAAUGUUCCAUGAAAUUUGAACCACCUUCUACAGUUUCAUUGGAGAAAGUGGAUUCCCGGGCGACCCCUCUCUCUCCGAGACCUCCAUGAGGUCAUCCGUAUCAACCUUGUUGAAUUUAUGACUAUGUUUAAAUGACUUUUUCUCAGAAUGUCUACCUCCACUAAUAUUUCCUCCAGAUAUUGCAUAUUGCCAAAGGAGCAUGGCAUCAAAUGCGUGGCUCUACAGCGCCCUCUGGUGGGGGGAUUCUAGCAUCGCUAGAUGCUGUAAGGGAAAUAAUACGGAGGAUUGCAGCACUCUCCUGUUUCUCGGACAGGGCCGGGUUUGGUUGCUCAGACGGAGCUUCACCUUCCAUACACACCUUGGCGUUAUACUGCCAUCUUCCCUUCAAAAGGCGAUCGCGCAUCUACAUUGCAUUGUACGGUAAUGCUCUUUUGCACUGGCGCGGUCAGGUGUGCCUCGUAAACUCAGAAAUAUGCACGUCUCGAAUGGACACGAACGUUUUGAAUUUCUUAUUUUCCUUUGUUGAAAUACAUACUUAGGUUUUAUCAAUUAUGCAUGCAUUGCUAUAGUAGGCAGGUAUAGGAAUACCAUAUUCUUGUUAUUUGUUAACAUGUCCCCAGGUACCUCUGCGUUGUUUUUCAAGUUGUUCUACUGUUUGACGUUUUAAUAAUUAGGGCCUGGAUGCUAAAGUCAUCCCUAAUGCACGUCUGUUACUAUACAGGCAGAAACAACUGUUAUAUAAUGUGUUCCACUUCUAACCCUUACCAUUGAAUAAUGUCUUCUAACGCUAACUCUAACCAAACAUAACAUGGAGAUAAUUAUCAUUUUGUUACUAAGUGCCAACGUCAUGACUGACCUUUGGAGCUUAAUAAAAUAAAGUAUUUCUGUAGUCUUGCACUGACACAAGGUGGCAGCAAAAUGCAAAAAACAACAAGAUCGAAUAGUUGGUCAUCAUGAGAGGAGGAAGAGGAGACAGUGACGGCAGGAAGAGGAGAGAGUGACGGGAGGAAGAGGAGAUAACAACAAGGGAGGAGGAGGAGAAAACGACGGGAGGAAGAGGAGAGAACACAGAGGGAGGAGGAAGAGGAGAGUGGAAGGGGAACAGGAGGGGACACUAGGGGAGAAGGAGGAGGAGGAAUGAGGAGGUGAUUAUGACCCGAGAUGCUUUUAUCACCCAACAGAGGUGGAGAGGGAGAAAGGUCUGGAGAUGGAGCCCUCUGAGCAGUUGAGUGAUUCUCAGGGGUAAUCUGGAAGGGAAAGCAGCUGGUCACCUGCUCUUAACCUUCAUGUCUCCUGCUCCUUUCAUCUCUCCAUUACUGCGCGUCCUUCCUCCUCCUUCACUGCCUUUCUUCUUAGCUUCUGCAACUUCUCAGCUUCCAGUCGCAACACGCACACGCACACACACACACACACACACACACACACACACACACACACACACACACACACACACACACACACACACAACACACCCCUAUUGUAUGUUGGUAGCAUGUUAGUGUUGUCAUGGGCCUCAGGUGGCAGGUGAGCUGCUCUUGGCAUCUUCAAUGUUCCCCUCAAGUGCACACACACACACACACACACACACACACACACACACACACACACACACACACACACACACACACACACACACACACACACACACACACACACACUGACACAAACACACACACACACUGAGACACACACACACACACACACACACACACACACACACACUGAGACACACACUGAGACACACACACACACACUGACACACACACACACUCACUGACAUACACACACUGACCCACACGCACGCACACAAUCUCACUGACAUACAAACAUUCACUGACACACACAUACACAUAAACACUCAAUGAAUAUAUGUAUAUAUGUCUCAUUAAGACAUUUUGAGACUUUCAAAUGUUUUUAAGACAUUCUCAUUUUGAAUUAAAAAUACUACAGAUAAACCUGAAAUGCCAGUUUGCAGUUUACAAAAAACACUUUGCAGAGGAAGAUUCUACCAAACACGUAUAGUAAUCAAUAAACGAUUUGAAGAAACCGAAAUGAAACCGAAUGUUUUUCUUAGUCUGGACAAAAGCACCGCGACACACAGGGUGUGAGGUCGAUUAUGGGUGUUUGGAUGGCUCAUUUUGCCCAGACAGUUUCUAAAAUGAUGAAUGCUGUUUAUGUGUCCUGUUCACUGAUCCAGGACAGGAAUGCCAGCCACGCCAGACUGACAGCGGAAACACAUGACUGGCUCUGGAGUGUUGCACUUCCUCACUGACCCUAACCCUGGUAUCGACUAGCAGGUGGAAACCCAACUCGCAGGACCUCUGAUACGCUCCAACACACUUUCUCUCUCUCUCUCUCUCUCUCUCUCUCUCUCUCUCUCUCUCUCUCUCUCUCUCUCUCUCUCUCUCUCUCUCUCCUACCUCUCUGCUAAGCAC